rnacentral:rRNA from 5 species
CUAGCGGCGGACGGGUGAGUAACGCGUGGGAACGUGCCCUUUGCUACGGAAUAGCCUCUGGAAACGGAGAGUAAUACCGUAUGUGCCCUUCGGGGGAAAGAUUUAUCGGCAAAGGAUCGGCCCGCGUUGGAUUAGGUAGUUGGUGGGGUAAUGGCCCACCAAGCCGACGAUCCAUAGCUGGUUUGAGAGGAUGAUCAGCCACACUGGGACUGAGACACGGCCCAGACUCCUACGGGAGGCAGCAGUGGGGAAUCUUAGACAAUGGGGGCAACCCUGAUCUAGCCAUGCCGCGUGAGUGAUGAAGGCCUUAGGGUUGUAAAGCUCUUUCAGCUGGGAAGAUAAUGACGGUACCAGCAGAAGAAGCCCCGGCUAACUCCGUGCCAGCAGCCGCGGUAAUACGGAGGGGGCUAGCGUUGUUCGGAAUUACUGGGCGUAAAGCGCACGUAGGCGGACUGGAAAGUUGGGGGUGAAAUCCCGGGGCUCAACCUCGGAACUGCCUU